rnacentral:rRNA from 1 species
UACGGAGGGCGCAAGCGUUAUCCGGAUUCACUGGGUUUAAAGGGUGCGUAGGUGGGCAGUUAAGUCAGUGGUGAAAUCUCCGGGCUCAACCCGGAAACUGCCAUUGAUACUAUCUGUCUUGAAUAUCGUGGAGGUAAGCGGAAUAUGUCAUGUAGCGGUGAAAUGCUUAGAUAUGACAUAGAACACCAAUUGCGAAGGCAGCUUACUACCCGAAUAUUGACACUGAGGCACGAAAGCGUGGGGAUCAAACAGG